UCCUUGAGAGUCCUGAAGGAACGUUGAAGACGACGACGUUGAUAGGUCGGGUGUGUAAGCGCAGCGAUGCGUUGAGCUAACCGAUACUAAUGAACCGUGAGGCUUAACCUU
rnacentral:rRNA from 3 species